rnacentral:snRNA from 1 species
AUGCUUGCUUCAGCAGCACAUAUGCUAAAAUUGGAAUGAUUCAGAGAUUAGCACAGACCCUGAACAAGGAUGACAUGCAAAUUUGUGAAGCAUUCCUUAUUUUU